GAUGGACGCUGGCGGCGUGCCUAAUACAUGCAAGUCGAGCGAACAGACGAGGAGCUUGCUCCUCUGACGUUAGCGGCGGACGGGUGAGUAACACGUGGAUAACCUACCUAUAAGACUGGUAUAACUUCGGGAAACCGGAGCUAAUACCGGAUAAUAUAUUGAACCGCAUGGUUCAAUAGUGAAAGACGGUUUUGCUGUCACUUAUAGAUGGAUCCGCGCCGCAUUAGCUAGUUGGUAAGGUAACGGCUUACCAAGGCGACGAUGCGUAGCCGACCUGAGAGGGUGAUAGGCCACACUGGAACUGAGACACGGUCCAGACUCCUACGGGAGGCAGCAGUAGGGAAUCUUCCGCAAUGGGCGAAAGCCUGACGGAGCAACGCCGCGUGAGUGAUGAAGGUCUUCGGAUCGUAAAACUCUGUUAUUAGGGAAGAACAAAUGUGUAAGUAACUAUGCACGUCUUGACGGUACCUAAUCAGAAAGCCACGGCUAACUACGUG
rnacentral:rRNA from 1 species